rnacentral:rRNA from 1 species
GUUAAAAAGCUCGUAGUUGGAUCUCGGCGGGCAGGGGGUGGUUCGCUCUUCAGCGCUACUGCCCCGCUUUGCCCGUGUGAUUGGCGGAGGUUUCGGGGUGCUCUUCGUUGAGUGACUCGGAGCGCCGUCAGGUUUACUUUGAAAAAAUUAGAGUGCUCAAAGCAGGCUUUUCACGCUUGAAUAUUCGUGCAUGGAAUAAUGGAAUAGGAACUCGUUUCUAUUUUGUUGGUUUUCGGAAAUCGAGUUAAUGAUUAACAGGGACAAUUGGGGGCAUUAGUAUUCAGACGACAGAGGUGAAAUUCUUGGACCGUCUGAAGACUGACUACUGCGAAAGCAUUUGCCAAGAGUGUUUUCAUUAAUCAAGAACGAAAGUUAGAGGUUCGAAGGCGAUCAGAUACCGCCCUAGUUCUAACCAUAAACGAUGCCAGCUAGCGAUCUGCCGAGUUUUUUUUGUAGGCUCCGCAGGAAGCUUUCGGGAAACCAAAGCUUUUGGGUUCCGGGGGAAGUAUGGUUGCAAAGCUGAAACUUAAAGGAAUUGACGGAAGGGCACCACCAGGAGUGGAGCCUGCGGCUUAAUUUGACUCAACACGGGAAAUCUCACCAGGCCCGGACACUGGAAGGAUUGACAGAUUGAGAGCUCUUUCUCGAUUCGGUGGGUGGUGGUGCAUGGCCGUUCUUAGUUGGUGGAGUGAUUUGUCUGGUUAAUUCCG